ACAGCAGGUCGCCUUAUCGUUCCGAUUCGUCGGGAAGGAAAGUCCGGACACCACAGAGUAGCGUAAUGGGUAACGCCCAUCCGGCGAAAGCCGAGGACCAGUGCAACAGAAAGCAAGUACAGUUAGGCUGUAGUGAAACCAGGUAAACUCUACGCGGUGCAAUGUUACGUAUAUUGGAACACUGAUUAAUUUCAGAUAAGGGUACUCGCCCGAUUCCAAGGGGUAAACAGCUCAAGUUAAGCAUAAAUGUUUAACUCAGAUAAAUGAUAAGGCAUUUUCUAGUUGAAAAUGACAGAAUCCGGCUUAUAGACCUGCUUUUUUA
rnacentral:RNase_P_RNA from 7 species